rnacentral:lncRNA from 1 species
GUCUCGGGAGGCCUACUUUCAGGAGAGCUCACUGCCUCUCUCCUUGGCAAGUCAGACUGACAGUGACCAGUGACUGGGCUGCAUGUGGAAAGUUAGAGUUCUUUGCAAGUGUCAUGCACGCUUUUGGUUUUCCACUGAAGCCAUCACUUCUGCUACUUUUUAUUCAAAAAUGAAAACUGAAGAAUAAAAUUUGGCAGCCUAUGUUGCAAGUAGAAAAUGACAAGUGAACAUAUUGGAUCAUUUGGAUUCUUCUUACAAAUGUGGACCCAGAUAAAAUCGUUAGUGUUUAUUGUCAUAUAUUUGCAUUAUAUUGUAU